rnacentral:rRNA from 1 species
GUGAGGAAUUUUCCGCAAUGGGCGAAAGCCUGACGGAGCAAUGCCGCGUGAAGGAUGAAGGCCUAUGGGUUGUAAACUUCUUUUCUCAGAAAAGAAUUAUGACGGUAUCUGAGGAAUAAGCAUCGGCUAACUCUGUGCCAGCAGCCGCGGUAAGACAGAGGAUGCAAGCGUUAUCCGGAAUGAUUGGGCGUAAAGCGUCUGUAGGUUGUUUAAAAAGUAUUCUGUCAAAGAUUAGGGCUUAACCCUAGAUAGGCAGAAUAAACUUUUAAGCUAGAGGUUGGUAGAGGCAGAGGGAAUGCCCGGUGGAGCGGUGAAAUGCGUAGAUAGCGGGAGGAACACCAAAGGCGAAGGCACUCUGCUGGGCCAAUACUAACACUGAGAGACGAAAGCGAGGGGAGCAAAUGGGAUUAGAAACCCUGGUAGUCC